AAAAAAGGUAAGCUACUAAGAGCGAAUGGUGGAUGCCUUGACUGGUAAAGGCGAUGAAGGACGUACUAGACUGCGAUAAGCUACGGGGAGCUGUCAAGAAGCUUUGAUCCGUAGAUUUCCGAAUGGGGCAACCCAAUGUAUAGAGAUAUACAUUACCUAUAUAGGAGCGAACGAGGGGAAUUGAAACAUCUUAGUACCCUCAGGAAAAGAAAUCAAUAGAGAUUGCGUCAGUAGCGGCGAGCGAAAGCGUAAGAGGGCAAACCCAGUGCUUGCACUGGGGGUUGUAGGACUGCAAUGUGCAAGAGGUGAGUUUAGCAGAACAUUCUGGAAAGUAUAGCCAUAGAGGGUGAUAGUCCCGUAUGCGAAAAACAAACCUUAGCUAGCAGUAUCCUGAGUAGGGCGGGACACGAGAAAUCCUGUCUGAAGCUGGGUCGACCACGAUCCAACCCUAAAUACUAAUACCAGAUCGAUAGUGCACAAGUACCGUGAGGGAAAGGUGAAAAGAACUGAGGUGAUCAGAGUGAAAUAGAACCUGAAACCAUUUGCUUACAAUCAUUCAGAGCACUAUGUAGCAAUACAGUGUGAUGGACUGCCUUUUGCAUAAUGAGCCUGCGAGUUGUGGUGUCUGGCAAGGUUAAGCAAACGCGAAGCCGUAGCGAAAGCGAGUCUGAAUAGGGCGCUUAGUCAGAUGCUGCAGACCCGAAACGAAGUGAUCUAUCCAUGAGCAAGUUGAAGCUAGUGUAAGAACUAGUGGAGGACUGAACCCAUAGGCGUUGAAAAGCCCCGGGAUGACUUGUGGAUAGGGGUGAAAGGCCAAUCAAACUUCGUGAUAGCUGGUUCUCUCCGAAAUAUAUUUAGGUAUAGCGUUGUGUCGUAAUAUAAGGGGGUAGAGCACUGAAUGGGCUAGGGCAUACACCAAUGUACCAAACCCUAUCAAACUCCGAAUACCUUAUAUGUAAUCACAGCAGUCAGGCGGCGAGUGAUAAAAUCCGUCGUCAAGAGGGAAACAACCCAGACUACCAGCUAAGGUCCCUAAAUCUUACUUAAGUGGAAAACGAUGUGAAGUUACUUAAACAACCAGGAGGUUGGCUUAGAAGCAGCCAUCCUUUAAAGAAAGCGUAAUAGCUCACUGGUCUAGUGAUUUUGCGCGGAAAAUAUAACGGGGCUAAAGUAAGUACCGAAGCUGUAGACUUGACUUUGUCAAGUGGUAGGAGAGCGUUCUAUUUGCGUCGAAGGUAUACCGGUAAGGAGUGCUGGAGCGAAUAGAAGUGAGCAUGCAGGCAUGAGUAGCGAUAAUUAAUGUGAGAAUCAUUAACGCCGUAAACCCAAGGUUUCCUACGCGAUGCUCGUCAUCGUAGGGUUAGUCGGGUCCUAAGUCGAGUCCGAAAGGGGUAGACGAUGGCAAAUUGGUUAAUAUUCCAAUACCAACAUUAGUGUGCGAUGGAAGGACGCUUAGGGCUAAGGGGGCUAGCGGAUGGAAGUGCUAGUCUAAGGUCGUAGGUGCUUAUACAGGCAAAUCCGUAUAAGAAUACACCGAGAACUGAAAGGCUUUUUGAAGUCUUCGGAUGGAUAGAAGAACCCCUGAUGCCGUCGAGCCAAGAAAAGUUUCUAAGUUUAGCUAAUGUUGCCCGUACCGUAAACCGACACAGGUGGGUGGGAUGAGUAUUCUAAGGCGCGUGGAAGAACUCUCUUUAAGGAACUCUGCAAAAUAGCACCGUAUCUUCGGUAUAAGGUGUGGUUCGCUUCGUAUUAGGAUUUACUCCGAAAGCGAAGAAACUUACAACAAAGAGUCCCUCCCGACUGUUUACCAAAAACACAGCACUCUGCUAACUCGUAAGAGGAUGUAUAGGGUGUGACGCCUGCCCGGUGCUCGAAGGUUAAUUGAUGGGGUUAGCAUUAGCGAAGCUCUUGAUCGAAGCCCGAGUAAACGGCGGCCGUAACUAUAACGGUCCUAAGGUAGCGAAAUUCCUUGUCGGUUAAAUACCGACCUGCAUGAAUGGCGUAACGAGAUGGGAGCUGUCUCAAAGAGGGAUCCAGUGAAAUUGUAGUGGAGGUGAAAAUUCCUCCUACCCGCGGCAAGACGGAAAGACCCCGUGGACCUUUACUACAGCUUGACACUGCUACUUGGAUAAGAAUGUGCAGGAUAGGUGGGAGGCUUUGAGUAUAUGACGCCAGUUGUAUAUGAGCCAUUGUUGAGAUACCACUCUUUCUUAUUUGGGUAGCUAACCAGCUUGAGUUAUCCUCAAGUGGGACAAUGUCUGGUGGGUAGUUUGACUGGGGCGGUCGCCUCCCAAAUAAUAACGGAGGCUUACAAAGGUUGGCUCAGAACGGUUGGAAAUCGUUCGUAGAGUAUAAAGGUAUAAGCCAGCUUAACUGCAAGACAUACAAGUCAAGCAGAGACGAAAGUCGGUCUUAGUGAUCCGGUGGUUCUGUGUGGAAGGGCCAUCGCUCAAAGGAUAAAAGGUACCCCGGGGAUAACAGGCUGAUCUCCCCCAAGAGCUCACAUCGACGGGGAGGUUUGGCACCUCGAUGUCGGCUCAUCGCAUCCUGGGGCUGGAGCAGGUCCCAAGGGUAUGGCUGUUCGCCAUUUAAAGCGGUACGCGAGCUGGGUUCAGAACGUCGUGAGACAGUUCGGUCCCUAUCUGCCGUGGGCGUAAGAAGAUUGAAGAGAUUUGACCCUAGUACGAGAGGACCGGGUUGAACAAACCACUGGUGUAGCUGUUGUUCUGCCAAGAGCAUCGCAGCGUAGCUAAGUUUGGAAAGGAUAAACGCUGAAAGCAUCUAAGCGUGAAGCCAACUCUAAGAUGAAUCUUCUCUAAGCUCUCUAGAAGACUACUAGUUUGAUAGGCUGGGUGUGUAAUGGAUGAAAGUCCUUUAGCUGACCAGUACUAAUAGAGCGUUUGGCUUAUCUUUAAUAAAGCAU
rnacentral:rRNA from 1 species